rnacentral:lncRNA from 1 species
AUAGGAAAGGUGCGUGUAUUCAGACGGACACGAUUCCAGCUGUGGCUCCUCCACUUUCAGGGUCGCUGUUUCCACAGUUGACAAGCAGGAGAACCAUACUUGUUGCACUUCCCUCACUGGGCUGCCGCCAGCAUCAUAUAGAAAAACGCUGUCCCAACAUAAGCCAAAGCCACCAUGACUGGGAUAGUCGCCAAACAGAACUCAGCUUCGGUUCCCCUCCCGGCAAGGCUGGUUCGACCUACAGUCAACAGGAAGCUCCUGGGGGCAGGGACAGGAUCCCUGCCUCGGAAGGAGGCAAGACGUGAACGUUUUUUGGACGGCGAUCAGGAUGGUGAUGAGGGUGUGAGUAACGCCCCCGGCUCACGCGGUUGGGCUUGAGAUUUUACUACCAACGACAAAGGGUGCGGAAGCGUAGCGCUGAGAAGCAAACAGCCAACCAAAAAAACUCAACCCCGUCCUCCCCCACAAAAGCAAGCCCCAAAGCCCUGGCCACUACUGAGAGCUGGGCCAAGGAACAGAGAAAGGCAGAGGGGCAGAAUCGGAGCGCUCCAUUCAAUCUCCGCGGCAGCCGAGCGUCGGUGGGUUCGCGGGUGGGAAGGGACGCCGCGGGCCUGCUC